GAUGAAGAACGUAGCGAAAUGCGAUAAGUAAUGUGAAUUGCAGAAUUCAGUGAAUCAUCGAAUCUUUGGACGCACCUUGCACCCUUUGGCAUUCCGAAGGGUAUGCUCGUUUGAGUGUCAUUGUACUCUCACACUCCCAAUUGCUUUGGAUUGGGAGCGGUGGACUUGGGUGUUGCUGCUUGACUGAGGCUCACCUGAAAUAUGUUAGUGCACCUCUUGAUUGGACAUAGUACGGCGUGAUAAGUGUCUUCGCCGGCUCCUCGCAAAGAGGGUGGCCGAUCGGGAGCUCUGUUGCUUCAAACUGUCUUCGGACAAUCUUCUGGCGACUUGACCUCAAAUCGAGUAGGACUACCCGCUGAACUUAAGCAUAUCAAUAAGCGGAGGA
rnacentral:misc_RNA from 1 species